rnacentral:rRNA from 1 species
GACGAACGCUGGCGGCGUGCUUAACACAUGCAAGUCGAACGAGACGAUUUAGAAGCUUGCUUUUAUUGAGUCGAGUGGCAAACGGGUGAGUAACGCGUAGGCAACCUGCCCUUUAGUUGGGGACAACAUCCCGAAAGGGGUGCUAAUACCGAAUGUGACAGUUUUUCCGCAUGGGAUUACUGUGAAAGAUGGCCUCUAUUUAUAAGCUAUCGCUAAAGGAUGGGCCUGCGUCUGAUUAGCUAGUUGGUGGGGUAACGGCCUACCAAGGCGACGAUCAGUAGCCGGUCUGAGAGGAUGAACGGCCACAUUGGGACUGAGACACGGCCCAGACUCCUACGGGAGGCAGCAGUGGGGAAUCUUCCGCAAUGGACGAAAGUCUGACGGAGCAACGCCGCGUGAACGAUGACGGCC